UGAAGGCACUGUAUGCUUUCUGACAUUUUCUCACUAUACACACACACACAACACACGCAAGCAUACAUCUCCCCGAGGCCUGAUUGAGUGUAAGUGUCUGCGCUGCUGGUCAAGGUCAGCUGAUAAUGGGAGUGAUUGAGAACGGGGAGCAACAGUCUCAGGUAAUGAGAUUUACGACCCUGAGCCCCCCUCCACCUCCCCCUGACCACCUUCCACCUCCCCCUGUCCACCCUCCUCUCCCACUAAUAUGAUUUAUGGCUCUAAUACAAGUCUACGCUCCACAGAUAGAGGCUUCACUGCACACAUUACCACUGAGGGAAACUCAUCCUUCCACAAUGUGUGGGAGACCAGAGAAACAACUCUACCAGAGGAAGAACUAGAGGCUUCUGGAAACCAAGCGACAGCGAAACAGUCAGAUAGCAUCCCACUAGUUGUAAUGCUAAUAUUUACUGUGGCUCAAAACACCAACUGUACGUGUUCAAAAUGAAGGUAGACUGAUGUUCAUAUUCUACUAUGGACGGUGCGUGGUACAGACUGACAUCGACUGGAGCAGAACAGGCCCCGAGGACCAUUCAGCUCUACCAUUGGGCCCCACAAAAUCAUUUGGAAGAAGUUGUUUCAGCGACCAACAUGUCAGCAAUUAUCACAUUAACAGGUCACAAGAUGUGCUGGGCUCCCCCUCCAUGAAUCCCAAGAAUCCCAUCAUGCCCUAGGAGUUUAAAAGCUCCAAUCCAGCUCGAACUCAACCUCACAUGACUCCAGUUCCCAUCACCAACUUGACUCCAGUCCCUUGUUGUUCAGUCCUGCUGUUUCCACACAGCGGUCUAGUUGUGACAGUGGCUUUCAAUGAGAAUCCAGUUGGCCUUCCCUCUCUUGUACCCCUCAUUAACGUUGGCCCCCAUGUCAGAGCCCUGGGCUGCAGAGGGGAAGGCUCUCAUGGUGUCUCUGCUGUACGGAGAGCCAGAUCUGAUCCCAGCCAUGAGGAGCCCACAGGCGGAGAGCCCUGUUUAAAAUUCCGCUCUGCAACGUGUCGGCUUUCCAAUCCACCGGGAUUGCAUUAUUAAACUUACACAAGCUCAUUUCCAUACAAAGCAGGAUAUCAGCGGCAGAGAGUCAUGCAUAUUUAUCGCCGUGUGCCUGGCUUACGCACGAAUACACUCGCACAAUAACCCGCACGCAGGCAUAACUUAGUCGUGGUACAUAAGUGAGGAAGGAAACCGAGGUGCAUUCCUAAUGGUUUGAGCAUGAGAGGUCCUGAGUGAGGAUGGUCAAUGAAAUCUACAUGUCAAUCACCUGACAAACCGACACAUAAACAGGCAGUUUCUCACACGCAAACAGAGGAGAGGAGAUGAGUUACACUUUGAGAUCUGACGAGAAGUGUAUUAGUGAAAAUCUACACGCAAAGUAAUGCACACACGGUCCAGCCAAGCCUCCACUUGUCCAUGUUGACUGUUCCCUGCUAGUAGCUAGUUCCCUCAAUGUCCCUGCCUGUGUGUCUCCCCCCGUCCCUACGUCCCGGCUGCCCCACUGUUCUUCUCCUCCUCCACUAGUUUCCGAGCACCGGUUUCUCCUCUCCUCCUCCUCCCCCUCUUUUCUUCCUUGCCCUCCUUCAGGUGAUGUCCGUCCCUCCUCCUCCUCCUGUGAGAUUGCUGCUGUGUCUUAUGGCUUUUUAUUCCUACGUGAGGAUAGAUGUGUUCAUGUAGGGAUAGAAGCCACUAAACACACGGUGAGAGGUCAACGUGCAGGCCAGUAGAGCCAAGGCUUCCUUUUCCACACAGAGCAAAUACCCUGCGGUGAAGUUAUGGUGGAGUUUACUGUCUAACUCUAGGUCUACAUGCAACCGUUAAGUUACUUCUAAACAGAAAUGCCAAACACAUAGGCCUAAACAGAAUGGCAACUCUCAAAGACCCACCAACAAAGGCCCAGUACUAAAGGCUGUAACAAAGCCAAAGAAGGUCCUAAGAUAUAGUCCAAAACUAGUCUGUAAUUCACUGGUUAUCAAACAACCUUGUUCAAGAAAUCCUUAAGAAAAGGGAAGCCAUGUUCUGCUAACAAAUGGAUGGAAUACUUCAAGCUAAGGUAGGUCCACUACAUCCAUCUAAACUGAGGUGAGUUUCGUCCAGGUUCCCAACCCCAAAUAGGAUGAACAUUAGAAUCCUGAGAUGAAUCAUUGUAAAGCGUGAAAUGUUAUUCUAUGUGCUUCAUAAAACCUACUUCUAGCUGCCAUCAUAGCUGAAGUGUAAUAAUUCAACACCCUCACUAAUGUACAUGAAUGUUCACACUAUAAAUCUACAUCACAACACAUGAUAGGAGCAUCAAUUAUUGACAGUGUUUUCUAUAGACCUCAACGCUUUCAGGGAGAAUAUGUUGGAAUAGAUUACUGCCAAUGGAUUCACUGCCUGAGGCAGAGUUGAGUUGAUGCAUUAAUAUAAAGUCUUUGUAUGUAUAUACAUGCAUCUCUGUCUUUUAAGAAUCUAUCUCCUGGCAGACUUUGAUUUUCCUGUAAUAAAUAAUGCUCUUUUGUGUUUUGUGUUGUUGCCGUUCUUCAUUUGUUUUCAUAUUUUCAAUGGUGCGAAUUGAUUAAUAAAUUAUGCAUUCAGCCAA